rnacentral:rRNA from 1 species
AGCGGCGAACGGGUGAGUAACGCGUGGGUGACCUACCCGGGAGAUCGGGAUAACAGCUCGAAAGGGCUGCUAAUACCGGAUAAUCCCGAAGUUCCUAAAGAACUUUGGGCAAAGCGUUUAGUGCUCUCGGAUGGGCCCGCGUCCCAUUAGUUAGUUGGUGGGGUAAUGGCCUACCAAGGCAUCGAUGGGUAGCCGGUCUGAGAGGAUGGUCGGCCACACUGGGACUGAGACACGGCCCAGACUCCUACGGGAGGCAGCAGUGGGGAAUUUUGCGCAAUGGGGGGAACCUUGACGCAGCGACGCCGCGUGAGUGAUGAAUGCCUUCGGGUUGUAAAGCUCUGUUGGGGGGGAAGAUAGUGACGGUACCUCCUGAGGAAGCCCCGGCUAACUACGUGCCAGCAGCCGCGGUAAGACGUAGGGGGCGAGCGUUGUCCGGAAUUACUGGGCGUAAAGGGCGUGUAGGCGGCUUUUCAAGUCGGCUGUGAAAUUCCUCGGCUUAACCGGGGGGGUGCAGUCGAAACUGAAUGGCUUGAGUGCAGGAGAGGGUGGUGGAAUUCCCGGUGUAGCGGUGACAUGCGUAGAUAUCGGGAGGAACACCGGUGGCGAAGGCGACCUCCUGGUCUGUUACUGACGCUGAGGCGCGAAAGCCGGGGGAGCAAACAGGAUUAGAUACCCUGGUAGUCCCAGCCGUAAACUCUGGGUACUAGGUGUAGGGGGCUUCGAUGCCCUCUGUGCCGUAGUUAACGCAUUAAGUACCCCGCCUGGGGAGUACGAUCGCAAGGUUGAAACUCAAAUGAAUUGACGG